GGGGUGCGCAAUAGACUUACCUCCACGUGGUGCAUCCUGGGCAACGUGUACUUACACGGCAAAAAGUCUAU
rnacentral:ribozyme from 1 species